GCAAGAAAAUAAUGCAAUUUGGUCCCUGCAACAUGAGAACGAUGAAUUGCGACAAAGUUUGAUCGAACACCAGAAGGCAUUGGAACUUAUCAUGACCGAGUACAGACAGCAGAUGAUGAAAUUUACUAAGCACCAAAACAUCCAGAUCACAAAAAACAAUAUCAAGAAGAGAAUAUGGAACUCAUUGUAAGAUCCACGAGAUGGUUGCUGUGAUGAGGCAUGCUGCGGAUGUUGAUGAUGAGCAAUAUCUCAGAGAUUACGAAGAAUUAUCCCGAUUGGAAACAGAAAAUGGCAUUUUAGGGGGAAAUGCUGAUGAUAUCUAAGAGUUAAUUUGAAUCAAGACUUAUAACCACUGAACAGAAAGAUUCUGGAAAGGCUGAAAAACCAGAGAAUGAAUCUAAAAUGGUGCUCACUGACGAUACUACUCGUGACAAGACAGUUAUACAUGAAGGGGAAUCCCCCUAAGACUACUCCCCAGACAAUUAUUAUAUUAAAAUAGGGAAGUAGUUUAUGUUCCUUCAAAGGGUACUCUCGUAGUAUGUGUACCAGGUUCAUAAUUUCAUACAGAUUUUCCUUAUUUUAGUUCUAUUACGAGUUGGGGGACUGUCUAUGUUAGCCAAGUGGGUAUAUCCCCUGCCCAUAGGUUUCAGUCUCUUUACACCUGAUGUAAAAUAGGCGAACAAAAUUAGUUACCUCCAUAUUGGUCCACAUACUUCCGGAGCGCCCCUUACUCUUGUUAUUCCUUGUGUUUCUAUCGAAACUCAGUAUUGACAAAAUAUAUCUGGUUCAUACAAAGUACUCCACACAAAGCUGUAGACCUGGGUUUCCCAAACUGGGAUCCGCGAACCUCUGGGUGUCAGUGAUGACUGCACAGGGAGUCCGCAACUAUAUGAAAGGAGUCUGAUCUAUCUUUAAUGAUUGGAUUUAACCAGAAAGCCUUUGCAUCAUCUUGGUUGAGCGCUGCAGACGAAUAUCCAUCGCUCUCAGAAAAGGCAAUAAUAAUUUUAUGUGCGAGGCAGCAGUUCUUGCCAAUAUGAUGACAAAAUACGGGUCGAGACUUGCAAUAGAGUUGAACCUACGAGUUUGCUUGCCACAAAUUACUUCAAAAAUUGAUAAAUUAUGCAGUGAAAAGUAACCUCAUCCAUCAUAUUAACAUUGUUUGUGUUGUUCAUCCUUCCUCGCUGGUUUGACAUAGAAAUCGAUAUGGCUUAUUAGCAUGGGGGUUUGUCAAAUAUAAGAUAAACAAACAGGGGUCCGCAUUUCGGAAAGUUGGAGAAAAUACUUGUAUGUUCCUUUUGUGUUUAGCUCAGAAUUGGAAAAAUAUAUCUAAUUAAUUCAAUGUACUCCACACAAGGCUGACAUUGACAGUUGACAGUGAUUUAUAACCGGGAUUCCGUCCGCCAGUACAGUCCAGCGGUUUGCGUUUAAAUCCGAUAGUCUAUAGUAUUAAAUCUAUAUUAUUAAAUACAUGAAUAAUAUAAUAAGUGUGUUUCAUGAGAGACUUUCAUUAUUCUGCAUCAAAUUUCUGUUUCCACAUUUUUUGAUUGGCAUUACACUGGAGUUCCUUAAGCCUUUGAAAUCUUAACUGGGGUUCCGCUCCUCCAUGGAGGUUGAAAAACCACCGCUCUAGACAAGAAACACUCGAAAGGGGUUCAAUGUAGCGUCCCUAACAUUUGGGUAUGGGGCAUGAUCUUCUACGCAAACUGGUUUCACAUUGUGCUCAUGCAUCAACCUUAUUACCGACCUCGGGCCCAAAGUCAGGGAUUUUAAAUGGAGUUCGUUAGUAUUGCAGUCUUGAGUCAUAAUUUAAAAUUAGAUGGCCCGAAUUCGAGAUUUUUGGAAACGCCUGUGAUUUUGUUGUUCUCGAGUCCUAGUUGAUAGAUUUUUGUCAAUUUCAAAUUAUCUAAAAUUUUGUUAUCAGGGAGUCCAAUUUCGGGUCCGUUUUUGUCAACACUGGAGCAGUUUCUCAAACGAAUGUUUAACUAAAUAGAACCUUUAUAAAGAAAAAGGAAAAUGCAAAGUUGGAAUAUUGCACAUCUGUGACACGCUGUUUUAGCAUUUUGAGGUUUUAUAGCAAUUGGGGGUGCCAAUUUUG